AGUUGUUGGGCGAAAACAAAAUAAAUCUAUCCACUACAACGGAGAAUGAAGAGUUACUGUCUGUAAAGGACUUUAGGAAGCAUAUGAAAUGGGCCAUGAACUUCCCUUUGGGUCUGCUGGACCUACAGAAGUUCCCCAGGUUCCCAUUUGUGAGGCUGCCAUGAAGGAUCUCGAUGUUCAAGUUGACAUCACCUGCCUGCUUACCUUGCUCAGCCUGAUCCUCUUCCAAUCUCGGACUCUGAAGGAUUUUUUGUGGUAAUGACGAGCUCUGGUCCCGCCGGUGCAUACUGAGAGAGAGAGCACAUUUUAAUCUUUACUGCAACGCAUUUGUCUUUCGUCACAUCAACGAAACUCCCUCAGGGAGUUGGCUGGAGCCUUUCCAGACCAUGUUGAGGUGAGAAGCAGGGUGACCCUGAACAGAUUGACAGCAAAUCACAAGGGGAGGAACAAGAAAGGAAAACAUUCUUUGUGGUUGCAGUUAUUCUUAAUAUCAAUUUUGAGGGAUAAAUUAUCCUAACAUGUUUGUGUAAUAGUUAGAGGAACACCUAAAUAACUGCCACUGUUGUCUGUUGGAUGGCAAAGUGGGCAAAUGUUA